GAUGAAGAACGCAGUGAAAUGCGAUAAGUAAUGCGAAUUGCAGAAUUCCGUGAGUCAUCGAAUCUUUGAACGCACAUUGCGCCCUCUGGUAUUCCGGAGGGCAUGCCUGUCUGAGCGUCAUUGUCAACCCUCAAGCUCAGCUUGCUGUUGGGUCCCCGUCGUUGCUUUAACGGCGGACCCGAAAGGUAAUGGCAGAGUCCGUGAGACCCUAGACGCAGCGAGCUUCUAGCACGCGUCUGGACGUUUUUCGGGCUCGGUCUUAACUAGAUGAUAACUUCCGAUUGACCUCAGAUCAGGUAGGGAUACCCGCUGAACUUAAGCAUAUCAAUAAGGGAGGA
rnacentral:misc_RNA from 1 species